UAGGAGGCGGGAGAGGUGGACGGUACUCCGCGUGUAGGGGUAAAAUCCUUUGAUCCGCGGAAGACCACCAGUGGCGAAGGCGGUCCGCCAGAACGCGCUCGACGGUGAGGGAUGAAAGCUGGGGGAGCGAACCGGAUUAGAUACCCGGGUAGUCCCAGCCGUAAACGAUG
rnacentral:rRNA from 1 species